AUUGAACGCUGGCGGCAUGCCUUACACAUGCAAGUCGAACGGUAACAGGUCUUCGGAUGCUGACGAGUGGCGAACGGGUGAGUAAUACAUCGGAACGUGCCUAGUAGUGGGGGAUAACUACUCGAAAGAGUGGCUAAUACCGCAUGAGAUCUACGGAUGAAAGCAGGGGAUCGCAAGACCUUGUGCUACUAGAGCGGCCGAUGGCAGCUUAGGUAGUUGGUGGGAUAAAAGCUUACCAAGCCGACGAUCUGUAGCUGGUCUGAGAGGACGAUCAUCCACACUGGGACUGAGACACGGCCCAGACUCCUACGGGAGGCAGCAGUGGGGAAUUUUGGACAAUGGGCGCAAGCCUGAUCCAGCAAUGCCGCGUGCAGGAUGAAGGCCUUCGGGUUGUAAACUGCUUUUGUACGGAACGAAAAGCCCUGGGUUAAUACCCUGGGGUCAUGACGGUACCGUAAGAAUAAGCACCGGCUAACUACGUGCCAGCCGCCGCAGUAAGAC
rnacentral:rRNA from 1 species